AAGCUUUCAUGUGCAUGCACACUUCUUGAGAUACACUGUAUCUGAAGAAGUGUGCAUGCACACAAGAGCUU